CCACUAAAUAAUUUCCUUUCUUCUGUCUCUCUGUUAAAUCAGAGAUGCUUACGUACUUAACCCCAUUUCUAAACAACAAAAGACACUUUUUAUUUUCAUAGUAAACAAAUGCCCUAGGGUCACUGACUUUUCCCUAACUCAAAGGCAUGUGGGUUUAUUAUUAUAUAAACAAAUGUAACCUAGUUCUCUCUGACUUUACCAUAGAGCCUACACAAAGAAAAGCUAGAAUGCGUGAGCUGUUCCUAUUCCAAAGAGGGUGGGAGAGAUUUGUGAGAUCUUCCUGGGCUUCCUGUAAUAGAAAAAGUUAUAUCAGUUUUGUACUUGUGUUAUAAUAAACAAUGUGUAGCUACUACCAUUCAUGAACUGUGAAUAUAAUGCUAGCUUGUGUGCUGUAUAGUACUAUGAUAAACUUUAAUCACCCAUUCCGUCUUUUCGAGGUUUAUUGAAGACAUGAACAAAACAAGUGGAUCUUAGUUUAUGGUUUCAAGAGAUGCUAUGAUCACUAAAAGGAUUUGUACGAAGAUACCUUCGAUUAUAUUAUUAUACAGUGAAACAAAAGAAAAACCAUUCCUACUCUUAUGAGAUUGUUUCCAGUCUCAGUACUCAGCUUCUAUAACAAGGAACAUCUUACUAUAUAUUCUUACUGGUUGAUCACGUAGUCCACUAAAAGAUGCAAAUCAAGAUUUGUUUUGUUUUCAUUUGCAUUACCAAGAAGAUCCACAAAUGCAAUAGAGAACAGAAAUGUGGUAAACAUAUAAGUCUUGUAUAGAACAUGUGUUAUUAAGACUCUGUGGGUUUUGGCAGUAUAUAGGUCUAGCCAAGAAAGUUUUCAGUUUUUGCAAUGUAACUCAGAAAUCUCCGUAAUUUCACAAUCAAUGUUUGCUAUUAAUUAUAGUGUUAUCCACAAGUUAUGUCAUUUUUUCUAGUGCUUCUCCCUCUGCUGCAGGAAUCAAUAAUGAUAUAAUUAAGCAACUAGUUGACAUGCUUAGAAUGAAUUAAAGAAUGAAAUAAUAAUUAGGAUUCUCUAACGUAAGCAAGGGUACGAAAAUUAUGAUUAAUUAACUAAUAAAAAUGGAAAAAGGAGCUGACCUGCAGACGUAAUCUCCAGACAAAUAUCC
rnacentral:lncRNA from 1 species